rnacentral:sRNA from 1 species
GCUGAUGCCUGGUAUGACUUAUAUCUAUAUCUGCAUCUGCUGCAGCCUGCAAAUUUCCUCUCUCCAAUUCUUUCUGGCAUUUCUAGACCCCCUUUCUGCAUCCUUGGUUCCAACAGAUGUAUUUCACUUGAGAUUUGAUCAGUUGAACAUUUUCAGAAGGAAGGAAGAUGUGUUCGAGUUUCACAAGAAGGACACAAACCAAAGAUGAGGGACCAUUGCUGAAGAAUGGAAGCAUGUUCUUAGAAAAGCUUAUUGCCUCAUGUAAUGGUAAAUGUAAUCCUAUUCGUACUUUCUCUGCUGAGGAGCUCAGCAAAGCAACAAAUUCAGUCUUUUACAACUGUUGCCUUAAUGCACCUCAAAACUAGAAGAGGAUAGACCAACUAAGGCAGAUAUAUAAAUCUAUUCGUUUUAGAUUGGUUCUUCUGCUGGAUAUCGACUCCUUUCAAUGCCUAGGCAAUUACCUCUGCUAUCCUAUUAUUCAUGGUAGGAUAAAUGUGCACUUGAAUAUCCCUUCCCCAUAUGUGGAGGCAGCAGGCUUCAUUUAAAGCAAAUGCAGAGUUUUUCAAGUUCUCAACAAAAGAUUAUAGACUUACCUAGAAUUGGAGAUUGGUUUAUGUACUAAUUGGAAAUCUUCCAGGCUCCAUCAAAGGCUUAGUUUACUUGUUUAGCUUGUUAGGAGUUGAAGGCAUAUAGACAUAAUAAAAUCUUAUUGUUUCCUUUCAUAAAGUAAAGUUAAAAUUAAAGCUCCAAAUCAAUCAGCGUCAUUCAAUUGUUAAAUCUUGAGUCAAAGAAUUAAGCAAGGAUUGAAGAGACAAGUCAGAACGAAGGUGCCUCUUAUUUUUUUAAUGGAAGUUUUCCGAGUAUGACUUUGACCAUUUCAAUCACAGAUUUGCACUCCUUCUUAUAUAUGGAGGAAUCUUACUGAUGCCUGGUAUGAAUUGUAUCUAUAUCUGCUGCAGUCUGCAACUUUCCUUUCUCCAAUUCUUUCUGCAUUCUUGGUUCCAACAGCUGUAUUUUCACUAGAGUUUUGAGUUGAACAUUUGCAGGCAAAAUGUUAGCAUGUUUGAAAGAGAAGAGACAUGAACAUAAUUAGACACUUUUCGAAAAAAAUGGAGGGGAUUUAUUAGAGGAGAUUAUUGCCUUCUGUAAUGAUAGAUCUAAUCCUAUCCGUCAUUUCUCUGCAAAAGAGCUUCUAAGAGCAAUAAACAACUUUGAUGCAAGACAGAUUUUUGUGCGUAAAGGUCGUAUACAUUGUACAAAGGUUCUCUAAAGGACCGUCCAAUUUUUGUGAAGAAGUAUUGCUAUGGCGAUCAUCCACGGUUUGAUUUUGCAUUCAAAGAUAUUGCCAUUGGAUCACAAAUGAGUGUUCACAAGAAUGUUUUAAAGGUUUUAGGCCUAGAGACCAAAAUACCACCUAUAGUAUAUGAAUUUGCUGGCACAGAAAUCCUCUCCCCAUGUAUCUCUGCUACUGAUGUUCAGCCACUAUCCUGGAAAUGCAGAUUGAAAAUUGCAAUAGGUAUAGUAGAUGCAGUUGCGUAUCUUCACAAUGCAUUUUCUAGACCAGUUAUCCAUCGAGAAAUUGAUUGCUCAAAUAUCAUAUUGGAUCAGAACAAUGUUCCCAAGCUGUAAGACUUUGGGAUAUGUUUAUCUAUCCCUGAAGGGCAAUCAUAUGUAGAGGAUGAUUCUAAGGGGACAAUAUGGUAUAAUGCACCUGAAUAUAUGUUUCCAGGUUAUUUAACAGAGAAAACUGAUGUUUAUCAGUUCGGUAUGCUUCUAAUGGAGCUUUUAAUUGGACAGAAGCUAGCUUUCUUAUAUCAGGCAUAUAAAGCCAGCAAUACAAGGGAUCUCUGUGUAAUAGUGUCGAUAGUAGAAUAAAAAAUGAAGGAAUUGAUCAGGAGCUGUUGCUGGAUUUCACAGCAGUUAUCCAUAGAUGUGUCUCUUAUGAUGAAGAAAAGAGGCCAACAAUGAUCGAGGUUGGCAAAGAACUCAGGCGAAUUUAUCAGUCUUUUCCAUCACCUUGUUAGCCUAGUCCCAUUUGGCUAUACUAUUUUUCAAUAGCUGAGAAAAUCUUGUAAGCUGUAGUUGUAUUUGUGUGCAUGGCUUCCUAGACGCUAAAGACUUCGAAUGUAUUUUACUCUCUGUAUUUAUUUGAUUGGCCACAAAUGAAUGUCCUAAACAAUUUAUUGUUAUCAAAUUUGUUUAUUAGAGGAAUUUGUA